UCCGGGGGGGGCAAUCGUUGUCCGGAAUCAUUGGGCGUAAAGGGUGCGUAGGCGGAAUGGUAAGUCAGGAGUGAAAGACUCGCGCUUAACGCGGGUUCUGCUUUUGAUACUGUCAUUCUUGAGUGCGGAAGAGGGAAGUGGAAUUCCCGGUGUAGCGGUGAAAUGCGUAGAUAUCGGGAAGAACACCGGUAGCGAAAGCGGCUUCCUAGUCCGUAACUGACGCUGAGGCACGAAAGCGUGGGUAGAAAACAGG
rnacentral:rRNA from 1 species